UGCAAGUCGAACGGUGUCUUCGGACAUAGUGGCGCACGGGUGCGUAACACGUAUGCAACCUACCUUACAUUGGGGGAUAGCCUUUCGAAAGGGAGAUUAAUACCGCAUAAGACAGUAGCUGGGCAUCCAGCAGCUGUUAAAGAUUUAUCGAUGUAAGAUGGGCAUGCGUCCAAUUAGUUAGUUGGCGAGGUAAUGGCUCACCAAGACUUUGAUUGGUAGGGGAACUGAGAGGUCAAUCCCCCACACUGGCACUGAGAUACGGGCCAGACUCCUACGGGAGGCAGCAGUAGGGAAUAUUGGGCAAUGGACGCAAGUCUGACCCAGCCAUGCCGCGUGCAGGAUGAAGGCGUUAUGCGUUGUAAACUGCUUUUAUACAGGAAGAUACGACUCUUGCGAGAGGCAUUGACGGUACUGUGUGAAUAAGCACCGGCUAACUCCGUGCCAGCAGCCGCGGUAAUACGGAGGGUGCAAGCGUUGUCCGGAUUUAUUGGGUUUAAAGGGUGCGCAGGUGGUUUAUUAAGUCAGUGGUGAAAGACGGUCGCUCAACGAUUGCAGUGCCAUUGAAACUGGUAGACUUGAGUAAAGUAGAGGUGGGCGGAAUUGAUAGUGUAGCGGUGAAAUGCAUAGAUAUUAUCAAGAACUCCAAUUGCGUAGGCAGCUCACUUGGCUUUUACUGACACUCAUGCACGAAAGUGUGGGU
rnacentral:rRNA from 1 species